GCAAUACUGCAGCUGAAUUCACUCUACACUCGUUGAUUAGGAAACAGAGUGUGGGACAUACGGUCUAUCUCUAGGGCUUAGACCAACUGGUUAUUGGCUGGUGCUGUUUUUCUCUAACAAGCCCCUGGAUAUAUCACUGUGGCUGCAGAGAAAUGUAGCUGAAAGAGCCUUUCACUGUCAGUAGCAAUCUGUCACUUCAUGUAUCUUACCCUAUCUCUUCCAGCACAAAAGCUUCGGAGCUGCAAGUCAGUUAGGAGAAAGGUCAUUCUGCAGGUUUGUGCUCCCAACUCCUGUGUGGUUCUCCUCCCUGAAAUAUUCCAGUGAAAUGAAUCACCCUCCAACAAUGCCAGAACUCCCCUGUUUUCAUGAACACCAGCUGAAACCUGACCUCCACAGCAUUCUAAUCUGUUUAUGACUUGGUCUGGCUCAGUGAGCCCAUUUUGGGGGGCAUUUUUUUUCUUUUUUAAACUCCUUCCUCGAUUCUAGUCCAAUAAAGCACAUCGACAGAA